GGAAAGAGGAAGAACCGAGUAACGAUAGAAGCUUCUGGAAUCAACUCCUUCAACUAACUCUGACCACUAACGCUCCAACCGUCAAUCCAACUCAACACGUCUACGAUCAUGAUUUUGUUCCGAUCAAGCUUCUGGGCCAGCUCCCUUGUGGGCCGUGAACCUCUUAUUAGCUUCCAACUUGACCCAUGGAAAUUGUAUUGUUGCUUCAUCACCUUCUCUUCUACGCUUGACGAACCCUAGUCGCUUGGUUGAGAGAAUUGGGAGAAAACCCCUCUUCUGAUCGAGCCCUCUUUUGCACAAAUGAAGCUUUGAGAAGGAUCCCCUC
rnacentral:lncRNA from 1 species